rnacentral:rRNA from 1 species
CAUCGCCGCGGGAAUACGUAGGGCGCAAGCGUUAUCCGGAAUUAUUGGGCGUAAAGAGCUCGUAGGCGGUUUGUCGCGUCUGCCGUGAAAGUCCGGGGCUCAACCCCGGAUCUGCGGUGGGUACGGGCAGACUAGAGUGAUGUAGGGGAGACUGGAAUUCCUGGUGUAGCGGUGAAAUGCGCAGAUAUCAGGAGGAACACCGAUGGCGAAGGCAGGUCUCUGGGCAUUAACUGACGCUGAGGAGCGAAAGCAUGGGGAGCGAACAGGAUUAGAUACCCCCGUAGUCCCUGUCUCUUAUACA